CAGCUGAUCAACCCUGCAGAAACAUUUGGUGAUAUUGUUAUAGACUAUCCUUAUGUGGAAUGUACCUCAGCUGCAAUUCAAGCUUUGACAUCUUUUAAAAAUUCUCAUCCUGGGCAUCGCCAAGAGGAAAUAGACCAAUGAAUCCAGAAGGCAGCCAAGUUCAUUGAAAGUAUACAAGCUUCAGAUGGCUCAUGGUAUGGCUCAUGGGGCGUUUGCUUCACCUAUGGUACAUGGUUUGGAGUGAAAGGAUUGGUGGCUGCUGGAAACAACUUCAAUAACUGUUCUAG